rnacentral:rRNA from 1 species
GCAAGUGGGACGAAGGUUGCUAUUGAAGUUUUUCGGAAUGGAUUUAGUAAUACUUAGUCGCGGACGGGUGAGUAAUGCGUGAGAACCUGUCCCGAAGAGGGGGAUAGCCCAGGGAAACCUGGAUUAAUACCCCGUAAGCCUACGGGUGAAAGGGAGAAAUCCGCUUUGGGAGGGGCUCGCGUCCUAUCAGCUAGUUGGUGAGGUAAUGGCUCACCAAGGCUAAGACGGGUAGCCGGACUGAGAGGUUGAAC